rnacentral:tRNA from 1 species
UCUAAUAUGGCAGAAACCGUUAUGCAGUGAAUUUAAGAUUCAUUUAUAAAUAAUUAUAUUUUAUUGGAA